CCCAGGCAAAAUCGUACAAGCUUUUACAAAAUCAGUCAAAAGAUGGACUGCACUUACUAAUGCAGCUAGAGAAGGAUUCAUCAGAACCAUAGCCAAUUUGUCAAUCAAGCUAUUUGCACAUCACAACUGUUGUCUAGACGCCGAUGUCAGAUCCAUUUGUAUGUCUAAAGCUCUGAUCCUAGGAAAUUCAGCUGUUCCCCAUCAUCAUUCAAACAUGUGAUUCCACCACAACAGCAUUCAGAAUUUUGUCAAAAAGAAAGAGACUAGGAAGACUCUAAAAGUUAACCUUGACUGCUUAAGCAAUUUCCUUCUCGAAUGAAUUGGGUUUUUGGGGGGGUCAACAAAAUUAUUGAAGCGAAGCAGAACUAAAAGUCGAAUUCCAAAUGGAAGCGCCACAUCCAAAAUUACCAGAAUACAAAUCUAGAGUGCGGAGGAGGGAAGCGAUUACCGAACUGCAGAUCCUGAAACCGAGCUCUUGAUUG